AGAAAAGUAAGCUAAAUUAAGCUAAUGGGUUCAUACCCCAUAUAUAGAGUAAGAACUCUCUUCUCUA
rnacentral:tRNA from 1 species